UACGUAGGGGGCGAGCGUUGUCCGGAUUUAUUGGGCGUAAAGAGCGUGUAGGCGGUUCGGUAAGUCUGUCGUGAAAUCCUGAGGCUCAACCUCGGGCGUGCGAUGGAUACUGCCGGGCUAGAGGGUGGUAGAGGCGAGUGGAAUUCCCGGUGUAGCGGUGAAAUGCGCAGAUAUCGGGAGGAACACCAGUAGCGAAGGCGGCUCGCUGGGCCACACCUGACGCUGAGACGCGAAAGCUAGGGGAGCGAACCGG
rnacentral:rRNA from 1 species